GUGCUCUCUUUGGCAGCACAUAUACUAAAAUUGGAAUGAUACAAAGAAGAUUAGCAUGGCCCCUGCACAAGAAUGACACGCAAAGUCUUGAAGCGUUCCAUGUUUUU
rnacentral:snRNA from 1 species